CCACCUGGUGGCAGCAUUGGUGAAAUGCAUCGUGUUUGGCAUGACAACAGGAUGUAACUUCAUAAAUUCCACAAACAGUGAGCAACUGUGUGCCAUGAAGGGCUACAAGGACACAGUUUAUAGUUGCACCUGAUCACAUCAGUGGGUGAUUUUAUUCAUGAGCUUCUCCCCUCCUGAUGCAAGAUGCUUGUAGGUUUGGGUCCUUAAGGCCUUUUCUCUGUGGAGUUUGCAUGUUCUCCCUGUGUGUGCGUGUUUCUUCCCACCUUUAAAUAUCUGCUAGGUUUGACUCCUUAUGGGUUGCUCAAAACUGUGUAAGGGUGGAGACUGGUGUGGUACUAUGGUGUAAUCCUUGUAGAUCUGUUUCUGAUUUACUGCUUUUAUUCUUGAGAAAGUUUUCUCUCAUCAACUUCUUCCAUAUUUGUUUAGAGAAUUGUAGUUUUGAGCCUCUGCAGUUGACUUUAAGGAUGCACUAUGCAACAAAAACAUCAGCUGCUAAAAUUGUGAAUGAUCUGUUAUUGGGUAUGGAUAUAGUCUAUACUUCAGAGUGACUACUAUUUGAGCUAAUUACUGCAUACAGUUGGUAACUCUAUAUUCUUGGACAGAAACAAAAAGCACUUUGGUAUCUCUGGUCAAUUACUCUUGGCUGAGGUCUUAACCUGUAAGCUUGAUAGCAGUGUGGAUUUAUAACACGACUGGAGCUCUUGGUGAACAGCCAGUCUUCUAUGUGUAAGCCUGAUCCUGUCCGAUCUCAGAAGCUAAGCAGAGUAGGUCCUGGGGAGUACUUGGAUGGGAGACCUAUUUGGAAGACCAGGAGCUGUGUGUGUUUCAUCAAGUUAAGCUGGAGUUGCGCCAGCAAGAGCAUCCGGCAUUGCUAGCAGGUGACUUUGUUGAUGAGCCAAAUUCUAAUGUAGAUCUGGCUUGGAUUUGCUGUGGUAACCCUCAAUGAAUGGGAACAACCAAAAGGCAAAACAACAACUUGAGCUCUUAGUGAAAUUCUGUAAACCUGCAUUAAUGGUUACUGUCUACCAGGUACAGAUAUUGCUCCAUUUCAUGAACCUUGAGUACCUGUUGCCUUGGGACACGAUGACAAAACUGUUGCUUAUACUAGAUGUCUGAAUUUUCCAAAGUGAAGUAUGUGGUAGGGUUGAUUCUGGGUCCACUGUAUUCACUCUUUAUGUAGUUUCUUUUGAUCUGAUUUUAUGCAGCCAUGGGUUAAAUUUCACUAUUUUGCAGAUGUGUAUGUUUGUUUGUUGCAGCAUUGCAGUGAUUAUGCCAAUCCUGUCUAUGGUGGCACAGUGAUUGUGAUUCAUGCUUUUGUGCCUGUAAUUUUUUUUUAUUUUUUGGUUUUCCACAUAGUAAUAUAAGAAAUCUACAAAUAAUCCAGAAUACAGUUUAUAAGAGUCUUGACCAGAAUGAGCAAAUUUGAUCUAGUAUUGGGCUCUCUUUACUGGAUCCUUGUUCAUGCAAGGGCAUAUUUGAAGGUUUUGUUGCUAAUAUGUAAAAUAUGGAAUGAUUGUGCUCCCCCUUUUUUCAUGGUAUUGGUUGAGCUUUGGGUACGGUUUUAAUGUGUUGGUUUGUUGUGAAAUAAAACAAUCAGUGUUUAAGUCAGCACUUAAAAACUCAAUAUUUGCAUUUCACAAAUGGUCUUCAUUCAUUUAUUUGAGCUCACUCUGCAGUUUGUUUUGCUUUUACUCCAUAAGUUUUGUGUUUAUAACCAUUUGCAUUGUUAAACUGGAAAGCACUUUGAAAUUUCUGUUUGCUAGCACUCUGUAACUAAAGUUAUUCUCAUUGUUCUUAUAGGGAAGCGGCAGCACGCAGCUGAAUAUGCGCUUCUCUCUGUUGUGCAAAACCCCUGAACUCAAAGUGGUGCUCAUCAACAAAGUCACCUGCUAGCAACAAAAACUUGCAGCAUCUUACGCAGUUGCUCAUCCUUGAUUUCUAUGGAAGUGUAGAAAUGGAGAGCCUUUUUAAUCUCUGCCUGGGAUCUUGUGUGUGAAUCUUUAAAAAGAACUCAAAUCAGGCAUGUUUUAUUUUUAUGUUAACACACACUUCAGUGUGCUCCAGCUGCAGCCUCACUGUGUCCUUGUUACGAAGCUUCCGCUCAUCUCCGAUCCUCUUCCGAGAACUGUCACUGCCACAUUGAAAUGACCUGUGAAAUACUUUGAUGUUUGUGGAGGGGUGUUUCCUGCAGGACGCUGGGGGAAAGUGCACCUUCAUGGACUGCUGAAUACAACCUACCCAGACACUCACUCUUAAAUUAUUAAAGUACCAAAUGGUGAGAUGCUUGUGAAAGAUGGUGGAUGGGAUUUUGGGAUGAGUUUGUGUGGUGUGUGCUUGUGCGUUUUGACACCUGUGUUGUGCGUUUUCCCAGCUCGAGGGGUGAUGUCACACUGCUCUGCCGUUACUUGGGGAGUCUUGACUGAACCUGGUUUUUUGUAUACGUGUGAUUGUAAAUCCGUGUCAGAUGUUGACUCUUCUUCUGUAGAUAUUUUCUAAGGUGUUCAAAUGUCAUUUUGGCAGAUGUUUGUGGGAUUUCCCCAUUUGCUUUUAUUUGCCUGUGAAGAAAAUGUUUUCUUGGAGUGCCUGUGACAGCUGCUAUAGACAAACAUAAAAAUAAAUAAAUAAAAAGCUACAGCUGUGGAUAAAUGGGGCUCCGAUUAGUUCAUGCAAAUUUCCUUUCUUUGAGUAAACAUUUUAUUUUAAAGUGCUUCAUUCUUGUCUGUUUUAUAUCUUUCUUUGUGGCUUUUAUUUCCUUUCAGACACCAUUUUCUUGCCUUAGUUUAAUGAUUUAUUUUUGUUGUUGUCUGUGCCAAACCUGUUUUCCUCAAUCAGAUUAUUAUUUGUUUCAGUUUAAGGAGGACUGUGCCUGAGUUAGAAUGGUGACAUCUUCUACUGUAUAUCUAUCCACUAUUUUGAAUUCUGUUGUCAGUCAGUGAACCUCUUGUGCAGUGUACGGUGCCGUGUCGUCACACAUUGUGAGCCGCCUUUGUGUGUGUUAUUGAUUUGUGAUUGUACGUUGAGUUAUAUUGAUCCUAUCUAGCUUACCUGAUGAGGUUUUCACAUGCAGACUGUCACAAAUGUCUCUUACAUUUUGACAAAGAUAACAGAACAGUUGCUCUUUUUUUUUCUUUUAAAAUCUCAGUUGUGUUUUUAAAGGUGGGGUACAGGUGUCAGAUUUCAUGCGGAUGCCUCGCACCACAAAGUGUGAUUCAGUUUCCUGCACAGUCCACCAUCACACCAUUUCUCACCGCUGUACUUUCAUCACAUUGCAUCGUACUUUUCCAUGUUCCUGUCAGCAGUUGCAUUUUGCUGCAAGCAUAUUCCCAGACCUUGUCAUGAUUGGUUGAUGUAAACUUCUCAGUUAAACAUAAUACCCUUUUGUCGUCGUCCCCCCUUUUCCAGGCUGCAUUGCAUAUUUCUUCAACAAGCAUUGUCAGCCUCAAACCAGCACAUUGUCAUUUUGUUGGGGAGUCUAAUUCUACCACAGCUGAGUACAUAUCACCCCUGUCUUUUAAUGAUCUACAGCAUAUAGGAUGGCCAUUGUUAACAAGUGAAAAGAAAUGUUUUGUCUUUUUAUAUAGUGCAUUGUUUCCUAUGUGCAAAACAAAUUGGGGAAAAAGAUGUUCAGUGGCAGUGUUUUAUGAAUUUGGUCUGCUGUCGAUAUGACUGUGCCUUUGGAGGUGGUAGAAUGCAAUUCAAAUGUUUUUAAUUUUAAAGAUAUAAAUUAAAAUAAUUUUUAAAAUUGC